CGGGAAGGCCAGCAAGUGGGGAAAUUUUCCGCCAAUGGGGCCCCAAGCCUUGACCGGAGGCAAUUACUCGCGUGUGCGGGGAAGGAAGGCCCUUUGGGUUGUUAAAUCCCGUCUUUUGUUAGGAAAGAAAAAUUGGACGGUACCUAAACGAAAUAAGCCCUCGGGCUAAACUUCCGUGCCAGGCAGCCGCGGUAAGGACGGAGGGAGGGCAAAGCGUUAUCCGGAAUUAAUUGGGCGUAAAGCGUUCCGCAGGUGGCAUCUCAAGUCUGCUGUCAAAGCCCCAGGGCUCAAAUUUGGAUCGGCAGUGGAAACUGAGACGCUAGAGUACGGUAGGGGCAGAGGGAAUUUCCCAGUGUAGCGGUGAAAUGCGUAGAUUAUUGGGAAGAACACCAGUAGCGAAAGCGCUCUGCUGGGCCAGUAACUGACACUCAUGGACGAAAGCUAGGGGAGCGAAAGGGAUUAGAUACCCCUGUAGUCCUAGCCGUAAACGAUGGACACUAGGUGUUGCGCGUAUCGACCCGUGCAGUGCCGUAGCCAACGCGUUAAGUGUCCCGCCUGGGGAGUACGCUCGCAAGAGUGAAACUCAA
rnacentral:rRNA from 1 species